rnacentral:tRNA from 1 species
GUUUAAAUAGCUUAUUAUUAGAGCAUAACAUUGAAGAUGUUAGGGAGGUUAUUAGAACCUUUAAACA